rnacentral:rRNA from 1 species
AAGAGAAACCGUAGCGCGGUGGUCCCACCUGACCCCAUGCCGAACUCAGAAGUGAAACGCCGUAGCGCCGAUGGUAGUGUGGGGUCUCCCCAUGCGAGAGUAGGGAACUGCCAGGC